CUCUGAUGAUCCUGGCUUUUUUGAGGGGCUCUUUGUGGCUGAAGACAGUGCAGUGUCUUUGUUAACACCAUACAGAAAGCAGUAAAAAAUGCAAGUUGACAAAAUAGUUGUUACAAUAAUAACCGUAACCCCCACUUUAAUUACUUCUGCCUACCAAUUACAAAAUCAAAUUGUAACAUAUAUUGAAUGACACCAUUGCUUUUAUUUGAUUUGUCAUGUUUGUUUUGUUUGUCAUAGACACAGGGAAGAGGCACAUGUGGGGAGUCCCAGUGGACAGCAGCGAGGGAAACUUCAAGGAGGGCUUCAAAAUUGGACGAAGAGGGGAUGGAGGUUGCUGUGUGUCGCCAUGGGUUCCUUUUGAAAGCCCUUAAUAUGUACAGGGGAGAGAUAUUUGCCUACCCUCUGUAUCUUCAAAAGGAGCUCAUGCCAGCCAAGGCACAAUUCUUCGCAAUGGAUGUGGCAUGCAAAUACUGGCCAUACCUGGAGAAAGUUGCAAGUGUCCUUCCUGCUCUUCAGGAGCUGACCACUAUGAAACCCUUUCUCAGUGUAAUGCAUGCUCGAGCCCAUGCUACUAAGUGUGAGGUGUGUAUAAUAUUUUAGCAUCAUAUGUACAUUUGUAAUAUUUACAAGCACAUUAAUAAUAUGAAAUUGAAGUUAAGCUACACUAUAUUAUCUUGUCUUUUUGCAUAACCAUUUCUUGCAUGGAUUGUAAUGCCCUUUGAUGCAGAUUGUUUUGUGAUAUUGUCCUAUAUAAAUUAAAUUAAAUGUAAUUUAAUUUCUUUCACCCUUUACAGAUUAAUUGGAGUGGCAGGAACCAGGAAGGAGCAGGGACAACAGCUGGUGAGGAGAUGGAGCAAGUGAACAGCUACCUCUCACGUUGUGCCCUGACGACCAAAUAUAUGUCCAAAGCAGGUGAUCAGAGUUUGCAAUAUUCCUGUAUACUUUUUUUUAGAUUGAUCAUCAUAACCUCAUUAUUUGCUUUAAACAGCACGGGUGGACAUGCUUACCUUGCAUGCAAUGGGGUGGAACGAGAAAAAAAAUCUCUCUCUACAUCAGGCACUUUCCACAAGAUAUGUGAAGACUUGUCAGAGACUCCAGGAUGAGACUGCAAGGCUAGCUGACCUAAAAACAGAGCUAGAUUGCACAGAUAAAUUGGUGUCACAGUGGCUAUCUGAUGUGAAGGAAUGGGCAGCUGGUGAGACACCUGAUACAUAUAGUGCCAGUCAAGGCACAACACACAGAGGAAUUCAGCAAUUAAUUGAGGGGCUCUACUUUAGUGUGAGGCACCGGAAGCGAACCCUCUACCGUCAGAAUGACAGCAGCAAGUUUCGCCAUCGCCUUCGAAGAAAGCUGGCAGAAGACAAAAAACUCCUUCUUCAGGAGAUACAGAAAUACAAUGAUCUUGUACUAGAAUCGGCAACAACCAUUGACGUAGCUGUGGUGGAGCAUUCCCUAACUGGAGAGAGUACUGUGUCUCAAAUAUGGCCGUGGGAAGUUCAUGGCAGUGCAAACAUUUCAAUCAAGAAACGAGUGCACGAUCAAGUGAUGUUAACAAGGCGACUGCAUGAGGAAACAAGAGUUUUGGUUUGGAGAUGGCACAACACUG
rnacentral:lncRNA from 1 species